UGCGGUUAAAAAGCUCGUAGUUGGAUUUCUGCCGAGGACGACGGGUCCGCUCUUUGAGCGUGUAUCUAGUUCGGUCUUGGCAUCCUCUUGGGGAACGCUUCUGUGCUUCGUUGCAUGGGGUGGGAUUCAAGACUUUUACUUUGAGGAAAUUAGAGUGUUCACGGCAAGCUUUCGCUUUGAAUACAUUAGCAUGGAAUAAUAAUAUAGGGCGUAAGUUCUAUUUUGUUGGUUUCUAGGACAUACGCAAUGAUUAAUAGGGACAAUUGGGGGCAUUCGUAUUAACGCGUCAGAGGUGGAAUUCUUAGAUUGCGUUACGACGAACUACUGCGAAAGCAUUUGCCAAGGAUGUUUUCAUUGAUCAAGAACGAAAGUAUGGGGAUCGAAGACGAUUAGAUACCGUCGUAGUCUAUACCAUAAACUAUGCCAAUUAGAGAUUGGAGGUCGUUUCUUUUAUGACUCCUUCAGCACCUUAUGAGAAAUCAAAAUUUUUGGGUUCCGGGGGGAGUAUGGUCGCAAGGCUGAAACUUAAAUGAAUUGACGGAAGGGCACCACCAGGAGUGGAGCCUGUGGCUCAAUUUGACUCAACACGGGAAAACUUACCAGGUCCAGAC
rnacentral:rRNA from 1 species